rnacentral:rRNA from 1 species
UACGUAGGGUGCAAGCGUUAAUCGGAAUUACUGGGCGUAAAGCGUGCGUAGGCGGUUGCGCAAGACAGGUGUGAAAUCCCAGGGCUUAACCUUGGAAUUGCACUUGUGACUGUGCGGCUGGAGUGCGGCAGAGGGGGAUGGAAUUCCGCGUGUAGCAGUGAAAUGCGUAGAUAUGCGGAGGAACACCGAUGGCGAAGGCGGGUCUCUGGGCCGAUACUGACGCUGAGGAGCGAAAGCGUGGGGAGCGAACAGG